rnacentral:rRNA from 1 species
AUGAGUUUUAUCAGAGCCGGUGAAGCAUUUGCACUUCAAGCUACCUCUGACUCCUUCAUUCACUGUUUAGUGGCUAGGCCAUCAAUAACGGAACUGCUGCGCAGACGACAACAGUAUGCACGACAGAUGAACGAUGCGGGAUCAAACGGUCUGCUGGACUCUGCUACAUGCAUGGACGGACAGGGAUCUGUUGUCGUGCAUGAAUCGUGCGCACAUCAUCGUAGCUUGGCGAUCCAGAGGGUGCUGGUCUCUGUCGGUGGACAUUCGAUGACAAAUGAAAAAAACAGAGGCAACCAAUUCAGCGAGGCCGCCCACCCAGCAAAACGCACCAAAGAACCAAUUCUUUCUUUACCAGAGAAGAAGAAGGCGAGGCCCAAUCUCAGCCGCCGUCCGUCCUUACCUGCCUACGUCCGGCGGGCCGAUGGGGGGCCCGACCUGAGGCGACAUGGCCCUCCCAAGAGAGAAGCAGGCGUCGGGGCUGUGCAGGCCGUCCAUGGCGAUGGAGACGCCCGGGCAGGAAGGGCUCAAUCCGGAUGA